UACACACUGCCUUUUAGUUGUCCGCCUUGUAAUUUGAGCGAAUCGCUAACCGGCCGUAUUUCAUGUAGUAAUACAUGAAACGUGUGAGACAUAAAACAGCUGUGCUGUGGACUCACGUCAAAAUCGAGGGCGCACAUUUAUGAAUUAUUUAACCAGCCGAGAAUUAGAGACAAGUUCGAAACUUUCACAUCGUUACCAGAAAGUUGACCUUGGGCCAAAGAAUUGGCAAUGAGCAAUGCUUUUAUUUUGCUGUAUUCCAUUGUUUCCGGCAUAUUGCGUUUCGGUUGAAAUGAAGAGGGGAGAAAGCGUUACGCUUCAAUCACUUGUUGCUAAUUGCUGAUAAAAAAUCUGUUUGCUAAUAUAUUGUUGCCCAGCUCACAUAUACGCUUAUAAAUUGUUUAUACAUUUUGUGACGUGUUCAUUGACAGCACUUCUGGCACAGAGUCAGUACAGAGAGCAUUGCAAACAAUUCGGAACGCGUCAAAAUAAUGAAAACCAGAUAAGCUGACCAGCUGUCUACCCUGCCGAUGCACGCAGUACAAGUUAACCACAUUUAUGGUGCUGCGAUAUGUGAAUGUUCAUUAAAUGCCGCUUACAGAGGCAUCAAGGCGUUCGGGGGAUUAAUAAUGUUGAGACAGGUCAUUAGUGAUAGCUAAGAGUCUAGCUGUGUUUCAGGGUAAGUGCAGGUAGCGCGGUUGCCGGACAAAGACGCAGACAUGCCGACGACAAUGAGUCGGCAUUGCCUUUUGUCUACUCUGUACGUCAAGUUAAAUUAAAUACAAAAAAAAAAAACAAGUGCGUGGGAGAGAAAAGGAAAUGCGCACUGCAUGCUACAGCUUUUAUCGAUAACAGCGCAGUCAAUUAACAAAAGAAAGCAACGCCUGUCAAACACAAUUAUGUUUACGUACGGUUGUUGAACAGUGCAAUGGCCCCACCAGACCAGACCAGCUGCCCGCAUGCAGAACAAUAAACAAAGCAGAAACCGAAGAAGCAGACGAACAAGAACAAAAGAUGUGGCUUACUAAAAAGCAGAAAUACAGUCAGUGUGCCCUGAGAUUGAUGAUUUCUAACUGCCUCACUCACUCACCCACAGCACAUGUAACGGUUAUGUGAUCAAUAUGUUAUCGAUAGCAUCUUUUGAUUUUUUUAAUGCGUUAUCUCUAUGCGCUUACUUUAAAUUAUUACUUCAAAUCUUUAAAGAAAGCAAUAUUUUCAAUCUGAACAAAGCAGCAAACAAACAAUGCGUAUUUACCGGGCUCCAGAUGUUUGCAUAAGCAAUGCUCGGCCGGCCUGACCGCACCCCAAGUAAAUAAUAAUCAGCACUAGCAAAAAUAUAUGUAUUAGAGUAUGGCCUACAUGUUAAUGACUUUUGUACGUGCCAAUGCGUCAUAGUUGUAUUGUUUAUUAACAAAUAACUGAGAUAUAGUCUGGGCGGCAAUAAAAUAAACGUCAUUGUAUGUUGCAUAGGGCGAAAACAAUUCAACGCAAUAUUAAUAAACAGUAAAUUCUUCCCGA